CGCUCCAAGUAGCCAGAAGCGGGAGUAAAAGGCCGGUAUUAAUCUAUCAAAUUUCUUUGUCCAAUAUCUUUGUCAAAGAUAUUUGAUAGUGUAAUAGGGAUCUUUGACAAAUGUCGUCCAAUAUUUGAUCAAAUGUAGGCCGAGGCCGUAUAUUUGAUCAAAGAAAUCGCUUGUCUUCUGUUCACUGCAAUGCGACGUGUUACCACGUGGAGCGCCAGCAUCGCUGGAGCGUUCUGUCAUCUUUUGUGUUUGUUAACAUGGCUGCUAAAUACAAUUGGUGUGUGGCGUCUACCAAAAAAUUAAUUGAAAUGUAUGAAGCGGAUGAGGCGCUUUACAAUGUGAGACACCGUGAUUAUAAAAAUAGAUUAAGAAGAUUGGAGAGUUAUAAAAAUAUAGCAGAGAUUAUUAGCCGUGACAUACUGUCUGGAUUUACGGCCGAGGAUAUCUAGUAGAGUUGGGCAACACGAUUCUUUUUCCCGAUUCGAUUCCUACGAUUCAAUCUCACAUUGCGAAUCGAUUACUACGAUUCGUUCACGAUUCAUUCUAGUCUUCGAUGGCACGAUUCUUACGGAAUGCAAAAAGUUCUAAAUCUUACUUACAGAUGACAGGACAUGUCUAAAAUUGUCAAUUGGGUUAGAAUCGAACUGUGUGAUGAUGAGAUAUGCCACAAAUAGUUUAUUUAUGAGUAAACAUGCAAAUGACGUUGCAAGUGUGAUUCUCGAUUUAUACGUGUAAUGCCUUAAUUGUUGAAAGGUCACGUUUGAUUUGAUUGCAUCUAUUGUUUUAUUUCAGUAUGCCAGAAAAGAGGAGUCGAUUUGUGCGGAAGGUGGUGCAAAAUUACGUGGUAUGUCAGUUUGGUUGUGUGGCUUGAACGUAUUUAACUACAGACCUCUGUUUUAUAGUAACAAAAUCUAGCAGUGAGGCAGACGUGGUUUGCCUCAUAUCAUCCUAAGUUUUCCUGUGCUAAAUGUCUUUCCUAGUCCACAUCACCCUUGUAAUUCAUAACGCAGCUGACAGCCCUCCCACACAGCAAAUUUAGCUUAACUUUCAUUUCUUCUAAAUACAAAGCAUAGGUAUUUUGCAUUUAAUUUGUCUGAGAACUUGCCGCUGUCACUGCUAUUUACGUAAGAAGACGACAUACUUCUAAACAAUAGGAUUCAAUCGUAUACCACGACGUUACUUCACUAACAUUUAAUAUGAAUCUGAACACGGUAACAUUCGAAAACUAGAAUUUUAAAGACGGUAUUACACGGCGAUCCGUCAAGAAAGGUAUUGGUUAGAGAGCUUACAUUCGCUCUGUAAUAUUGGUCUAGUGCGACAGCCAUUUAGUGGCGGCACUGGUGGAACUAACAGAAUUAGCAAAUUGGCAGUGAAGUAAUGUCGCUGUAUACGAUUGUAUCCUACACUUUAGAAGUAUGCCCCUUUCUCACAUAAAUAGUAGUGGCAGAAGCAAGUUCUCAGACAAAUUAAAAGCAAAAUACCUAUGCUUUGUAUUUCGACGAAACAAAAAGUUAAGCUACAUUUGCAGUGUGUGAGGGCUGACAGUUGCUUUAUUGUGAAAUAUAAGGUGCUGUGGAAUUGGAAAGAGCACAGAAAAACGUAGGAUGAUAUGAAUCCGCCCAUGUGCACUAUACAGAGAUAGUAAACGGGAAAUGCCUUUACGCUCGUUCCCGUCAGCAACCGCCAAGUGUCAACUUGGUUUUAACGAGUAAUAUUACGGCCCACGAACUUCGUUUGUUCGUUCCGAGCUUCCUUUGUUCACACGCAUCCUCCACUUGACUGCCACCUGGCGGUCGUAAUCAUUCGGCAUGAUUCGGAAGUUACCUUCGAAGUAUAGCGUACUAAGAAUCGAUGAAUCGUUGGAACUUGGAAUCGUCACGACUCGGAAACACGCAAUCGUUCUUACGAUUCUUUUGAACGACGAUUCGUCUGUAUCACGAUUCGAUUCUUACGACUCUUUAUUUAGAGUCUCAUUCACGAACCACCACAACUCUAAUAUCUAGAGGAAGAUAAAUAGCCUCCGCACUAGCUACUCGUACGAGAAAGCAAAAAUGCAUAAAAGCAAAAGUGGAGCCGUGCGCAGGCGGCGUAUACACCAAAAGUGUACUGGUUCCAAAAGCUGAAAUUUCUCGACCAGUCAACAGAGGCCGACGAGAGUGUGUGCAAUAUGGAGAGCACGGAAAGUGAAACUGGAAGUGAACGUGCCACACCGACGUUUGAGGAAAUGUUUGAGCAUGACAUGCAAGAGCCUGUUGCAUGUAGCGAGGCACAGCCCCAGCGUCAAGAGCGGCCUUCCACUAAAAGGAGGAAAGUCACGCCAGACGUGGCAACAAACGUCAUGGUGGAGGCCAGCAGGUCACUUCAGGCUAUGGCUGAUGCUGCCAGAACCAUGCCUGUCCAUGAAGACCGCUACAGUCCCCUUGGCGCCCACAUCGUAGCAGAACUGCGUGAAAUGGAAAAGGUGGGCAGCAGGGAAUACAUCACUGCCACUAUGCACAGUCUUGAGCGGACAUUAAUGGACAGGUGGGAUUUGCUGCAUGCGACAGCCCAUGCACAACCGUCCACCUCUGGAUAUAUCCAGGCUGCCUUGCAGCAGGCUGGAAUAGAGGAUGAGGAUUCCAUUCUAUAAAUAUAUAUGUGUGUAUAAUUUUUGUAUCUCUCCAAUCUCCUUAAUCUAUUUUUAUAAUCAGGGUGCCUCACAUUGUAAAGUGUCUCAUCCGCUUCAUACAUCUCUAUUAAUUUUGUGGUAUCACACAUCAAUUGAAAUUUGCCAUGUAAAUAAAAUUAAAUAAAUAAAAUAAUAACAAUUUAUCUUCAUGAACAUAAAGUGUAUCGAACAUUUAUUUACCUUCAGACAAUGGUCCUUUAGUGCUUUAUAAAUUGCUUCACACUUUUCAGGUAUUAUUUUACUUAAUGUGCAUUGUGGAAUUCGAGUGCUGUACUGUAAGCUAGAGUAACUUUCUCCUGUAGCAAGGAAUCGUAGUGUUACAGUGAGCCUGUCUUCUGCAGAUAUAGCAGUUCUUAGGUGAGUAUUGUGUUUUGAGAUAUGAGGAAUCACAUACUGAAAAGAAUGCUCAUCCAUUUGCAAGAAAUUGAUGUAUGACUUGAUGUCUUCCACUAUUAGCUGACGUAACAAGUUUUGCUGAAUGCUUUUUUCGUCUCGUCGUGAAACCCACGGCUUCACCCAGGUAUGUUUCCUUUUUUUCCCCCGCUUCUGUAUCGCAUGUGCACACACAGCAAUUGUGGCACAAGCAGCAGCUGCUGCGGUUAAUAACAAUUUGUUUUUGUCAGCCAUCUUGAACUUUGACGAAAACUUUGAUGACAGUGUAAUACCCCGUCUAGCGCUACGUCAAAGAUCUUGGUCAAAUAUAUUGGACGGAAUAUUGGAUCACAUCUUUGAUCAAAUCUUUGACAAAGAAAUUUGAUAGUGUAAUACCGGCCUAAGGCACUGCUCAUAUGCGAAUUCAGCUCUGCGCAUGAGCACGAGCCCGCUGGCAACUGCUCAUACGAACCUUUAGUAAACUGAUGACAACUGCCGGUGGAGAGAUCCAGUCAACCAAUGAGAACCAAGUUACCAUCAGCCAAUGAAAAGGUUCGACUGGAAGUUUCGUAUUCAUUGAAAUGUGGAAUUCUUUGAAUCUGUGAAUAUGACACGGUGUAUGACACCUAAGGCUGGAUUUCUUUGUCAAAGUUGAUAAGUCAAAUAUUUAUGUCAAAGAAGUUUGAUGGUGUAAUAGGCACUUUGUCAAAUCUCAUCUGUCGUCAAAUGAAUUUGAUCAAAUCUAGGGCCCCGCUGUAGAUUAUAAAAGUCUCUUGUCUUCUGUUCACUGCAAUGUGACAUGUUACGACGUGGAGCACUAGCAUUGCUGCAGCGUCCUGUCAUCUGUAUUCUGUUUUUUCUGUAGUGUGUCUGUCUAUAAACAUGGCUGGAAAAUAAAAUUGAUGUGUACCAUGGAGGUAGAAUUAUUUUUACCUCCAUGGUGUGUAUCGUCAACUACAAAAUUAAUAUAGAUGCAUGAAGCUGACUAGGUGAUUUACAACGUGAGGCACCCUGAAUACAAAAAUAGAUUAAGAAGAUGAGAAAGCUAUCAAAAUAUUGCGGAGAUAAAUAGCCGUGAGAUACGGAGUGGUUGCAUGGCAGCAUACAUUAAGAAGAAGAUUAAUUUCAUCCGCGCACCCACGAGAAAGCAAAAUAUGAAAUGCAGGCUCAAGAAGAGCCUGUUGUCACAUGCAGUGAGGCACACCCACAGCCCCAGCAUUAAGAGCUCUCCCACAAAGAGAAGGCACAACCGAUUAAUUUUGUAGUUUUUGGACUCUAAAUGUAAUUGAUUUGUUUAUA